GGUANUGGGCGGAAGCCUGAACCAGCCAUGCCGCGUGCAGGAAGACGGCCCUACGGGUCGUAAACUGCUUUUAUACGGGAAUAAACCUCAGUAUGUAUACUGAGCUGAAUGUACUGUAAGAAUAAGGAUCGGCUAACUCCGUGCCAGCAGCCGCGGUAAUACGGAGGAUCCAAGCGUUAUCCGGAUUUAUUGGGUUUAAAGGGUGCGUAGGUGGCCUGUUAAGUCAGGGGUGAAAGACGGUAGCUCAACUAUCGCAGUGCCCUUGAUACUGAUGGGCUUGAAUGAACUAGAGGUAGGCGGAAUGUGACAAGUAGCGGUGAAAUGCAUAGAUAUGUCACAGAACACCAAUUGCGAAGGCAGCUUACUAUGGUUUUAUUGACACUGAGGCACGAAAGCGUGGGGAUCAAACAGGAUUAGAUACCCUGGUAGUCCACGCCCUAAACGAUGAAUACUCGAUGUUGGCGAUAUACGGUCAGCGUCUAAGCGAAAGCGUUAAGUAUUCCACCUGGGGAGUACGCCCGCAAGGGUGAAACUCAAAAGAAUUGACGGA
rnacentral:rRNA from 1 species